rnacentral:rRNA from 1 species
AGCUCCAAUAGCGUACAUUAAAGUUGUUGCGGUUAAAAAGCUCGUAGUUGGAUUUCUGUCGGUGAUUGGGAGUCCGCCCUCAGUGGUGGGUACUUUUCAAGCCACCGGCAUCUUCCUAGGGACUGCGUCUGCUCCUUAUUGAGUGGCGCAUAAUCUAGGACUUUUACUUUGAAGAAAUAGGAGUGUUUCAAGCAGGCAAUCGCCAUUAACACGUUGGCAUGGAAUAAUAGCAUCCGACCUCGUUCCAAAGCUGUUGGUUUCUUGGGACGAGGUAAAGGUGAAUAGGGGUUGUUGGGGGCAUUCGUAUUUAACUGCCAGAGGUGAAAUUCUUGGAUUUGUUGAAGACGGACUACUGCGAAAGCAUUUGCCAAGGAUGUUUUCA